GGACCGUGUACAAGUCUCCUGGGAUGGAGCGUCAUAGAGGGUGAGAAUCCCGUCUCUGACACGGACUACCAGUGCAUUGUGGUAUGCUCUCAAAGAGUCGAGUUGUUUGGGAAUGCAGCUCAAAAUGGGUGGUAAAUUCCAUCUAAAGCUAAAUAUUGGCGAGAGACCGAUAGCGAACAAGUACCGUGAGGGAAAGAUGAAAAGAACUUUGGAAAGAGAGUUAAACAGUACGUGAAAUUGCUGAAAGGGAAACGCUUGAAGUCAGUCGCGUUGGCCAGGGAUCAGCCUUGCUUUUGCUUGGUGUACUUUCUGGUUGACGGGUCAGCAUCAAUUUUGACCGCUGGAAAAGGGCCUGGGGAAUGUGACAGCUUCGGCUGUGUUAUAGCCUCUGGUCGCAUACAGCGGUUGGGAUUGAGGAACUCAGCACGCCGCAAGGCCGGGUUUCGACCACGUUCGUGCUUAGGAUGCUGGCAUAAUGGCUUUAAGCGACCCGUCUUGAAACACGGACCAAGGAGUCUAACAUGCCUGCGAGUAUUUGGGUGCAAAACCCGAGUGCGCAAUGAAAGUGAAAGUUGAGAUCCCUGUCGUGGGGAGCAUCGACGCCCGGACCAGAACUUUUGGGACGGAUCCGCGGUGGAGCAUGUAUGUUGGGACCCGAAAGAUGGUGAACUAUGCCUGAAUAGGGUGAAGCCAGAGGAAACUCUGGUGGAGUCUCGUAGCGAUUCUGACGUGCAAAUCGAUCGU
rnacentral:rRNA from 1 species